UUGAGCUGUACGAGAUGAAAUUCUCAUAUACGGUUCUCGGGGGGGUCCUCUUGGUUUACCUAUCUCAAU
rfam:Corchorus capsularis cultivar CVL-1 contig04250, whole genome shotgun sequence.